CUGCCCAAUGUGAGAAUUUUAGUAAUGAAUGGCCGCGGUACUCUGACCGUGCUAAGGUAGCGUAAUCAGUUGGCUUUUAAAUGGAGUCAGGAAUGAAUGGGAUAACCGGGUUUAGCUGUCUCUAGGUUAAUACAGUGAAUUUACUGUUUAAGUGAAAAAGCUUAAGAUAAGAAAAGGGAAGAGAAGACCCUUAGAAUUUUUUCUAAAAAGAGUAGGUUGUACUCUUAAUGAUUUUGUUGGGGCGACAUAGAAAUAUUAACAACUUUCUUUAAACUACGUGCCGAUUAUAUUAAGAAAGAAUAAAUUACCUGAGGGAUAACAGCAUAAUUCUAUAAAUGAGUUUGUGACCUCGAUGUUGGACUAGGAAACUAACAAGCUAGCCGUUUGUUGUGUGGGUUCUGUUCGAACUUUAAUUCCU
rnacentral:rRNA from 1 species